rnacentral:rRNA from 1 species
UUUAGAGGAAGUAAAAGUCGUAACAAGGUUUCCGUAGGUGAACCUGCGGAAGGAUCAUUACAAAUCUUCUUAUCGGGAAGUGGAAGGGAUGAGCUUUAGCUCGUCACUUUUAUUUGUCUGAUAACAUUAGCACGAGUGUGUGAUGUUGGAUUGCAAUGCAGUCUUUCAUCACAUCUCAUGUUUACGCUUGUUUGUUUGACAGAGUUCAAUUGACUUUAAUAAAUACAACUUUUAACAACGGAUCUCUAGGCUCUUGCAACGAUGAAGAACGCAGUAAAGUGCGAAAAGUAAUGCGAUUUGCAUGAACUGUGAGUCAUUUAAUAUUUGAACGCAACUUGCGCCCCUCGGGGCAUGUUUGUUUGAGUGCCUAAAAAAAAGAAAUGCUAGCAAUAGUGUUUGAUGUGACUGCUGUCUAAAGUGAGCAUUGAUAGGUGUAACAAUCUACAAUCUACAAGGUCAUUCAAGACACGGUUUAAAAAGAGUUAGAAAAUGAAUGUAUUUCUGUUUAUCAAGUGCUAAGCAUUCUCGAUGGACAGGGAUGCAGUCAAUUGGAAGAUGGAAUGGACUAACGUGGACUAAUAAUCCAUCAACUCCUACUCGUCAACCAAAUCUCACUAUACAUGGC